rnacentral:rRNA from 1 species
CACGAAACCAGGCGAGCUACUGUAAGACUUAUAGUAGUAAAUAAUAUGUAGCAUAAUAAUAAUAGACCUUACAGUAGGAGUGAUAGGCUGACCAAGUCUGGUGAUAUCUUGUUAACCUUGAAAUAUAUGUAGUAUAUAGUCAGUUUAUUAGUGAUGAGGCUAAUAAAGACUAUGUAACUUGAUUUCCUUCUGUUUACAUAGUUUAACCACUAGCAUCUUUUAAACAUAAUAUGGCUGUCUUAUGUUAAUAGGUCAUAAAGGUUACUACACAAUUAUAGUGACUAUUUAUUUUGUGGGUAUAAGUAAUUGAGAUAUCGUUGAUGAACUCGGCAAUAUUUCUUUCACCUGUUUACCAAAAACAUCGCCACUAGGAACUAUUACUGGUUAAUUCUGCUCCAUGUGAUAUAAAUAGCCGCAGUACCUUGACUGUGCAAAGGUAGCAUAAUCAUUUGGCUUAUAAUUGAAGUCUUGUAUGAAUGAAUACAUGGGGGAUAGCUCUAUUUGCGGUAAAUCGUGAAUUUACUUAAUGGGUGCAAAUUCCCACAUAUAAAUAAUAGACGAGAAGACCCUAGAAAUUUUAAUAAUAUUAAUGAUGACGUUUUUGUUGGGGCAACAUAGUAGCAUUGAAUCUACAAUACAUACAUGGCAUAUUUUAGAAAGACUAAAUUACUCUAGGGAUAACAGCGUAAUUCUAUAAAAGUUUGCGACCUCGAUGUUGGACUAGGAAACAGAUACUAAAA